rnacentral:sRNA from 3 species
CUUACUCAAUCCCGACGAAGUGGUGGUGGGUGGCCAG